rnacentral:rRNA from 1 species
UACGUAGGGUGCGAGCGUUAAUCGGAUUUACUGGGCGUAAAGCGUGCGCAGGCGGCCGUGAAAGUCCGGUGUGAAAUCCCUGGGCUCAACCUAGGAAUUGCGCUUGUGACUGGCGGGCUCGAGUACGGUAGAGGGGGGUGGAAUUCCUGGUGUAGCAGUGAAAUGCGUAGAGAUCAGGAGGAACACCGAUGGCGAAGGCAGCCCCCUGGGCCUGUACUGACGCUCAUGCACGAAAGCGUGGGGAGCAAACAGG